UGCCCCGUUUGGAAGAAAUUCAUCUGGAGACAUGUACACCUGCAGCACAGAUCUGUUACACUGUACACCACUGGCCAGUCCAGAAUGAACCUCUUCAAUAAUCAAACAUCUGGAGCAGAUCUGAAUGCUACAAAUGUUCUGCUGAUUAUCACAGAUGGAUAAGUCUCAAAAUGUCCUCAAAAAAUAUCCUCCGCUUUCUUAUUGGGGUUGGAAGUCUUGACAUGAUGAAGCUCACUAGUCUGGCUUCAGAACCAAAACACAACACAUUCUACAUUUAUGAAUACGCUGGACUCAAAGGGCUUAUUGACAACCUGCAAAAGAAGAUCUACAGCGUUGAAGG